rnacentral:rRNA from 1 species
GAUGAACGCUAGCGGCAGGCCUAAUACAUGCAAGUCGAGGGGUAUGGGUUGCUUGCAACCCAGAGACCGGCGCACGGGUGCGUAACGCGUAUGCAAUCUACCUUAAUCAGGGGGAUAGCCCGGAGAAAUCCGGAUUAACACCGCAUAACAUUGAGUUGUGGCAUCACAGUUCAAUCAAAUAUUUAUAGGAUUAAGAUGAGCAUGCGUGACAUUAGUUAGUUGGUGAGGUAACGGCUCACCAAGACCACGAUGUCUAGGGGAUCUGAGAGGAUGACCCCCCACACUGGUACGGAGACACGGACCAGACUCCUACGGGAGGCAGCAGUAAGGAAUAUUGGUCAAUGGGCGCAAGCCUGAACCAGCCAUGCCGCGUGCAGGAAGACGGCCCUAUGGGUUGUAAACUGCUUUUGUACCGGAAUAAACCUUCUCUUGCGAGAGAAGCUGAACGUACGGUAAGAAUAAGGAUCGGCUAACUCCGUG